CUCUACUGUGUUUCUCAUUUUGUAACGCUUCAGGUUCGAUGCUCUUCUUUCUUCCACCGUUUCCCUCUUUUCGGUUUCUUAUUUUCCAAAAGUUCAGCAAGGCUUAAAGAUCAAAUGGAUGCAAGAGAAAUUUCAUUACCUAGCAACAUUCACCGUCUUCUCCACCAUUCUUCUCCGCGAUUCAUCUUCCAUUAGGUUACGCACAUGCUUCACUCCCAGAAUCGAAUCCUCUCUUCCUCGACCCCAUUAACCAAUUCCUCAACCCUAGGAUCUCAUUCAAGGAAGCUCAUUCGAAGGACAAUUCAGUUUCAGAGAAAGAGUCAGAGGAAUGCAGAAGCUGCGAGAAGAAAUUAGCAGAGAUCGAUGGAGAGGGGGCUUCCAGUGUGAUUUUUCGGUGAUUUGGGGUUUCAAUUUGGGCAUGUUUUUGAAAGCUUCUUUUGGACGGGUCUGUUUAUGUGAUUUCUCUGUGGCUGCUAACAAUAGCAGAUCUGAGGAUGCAGAGUGAAGGCAUGGAGAAUAGGACACCUUUGAGGGACAUUUCAGUAGAAUUAACCAAGGCUGAUGGGCUCAAUGCAGUGGCUAGGGUUGGAAUCUCAUAUGAACAUCAGGGAAUCCUUUGUGGUCUUCAUUGGAGCUUUUUGGUUUUCGCAAGAUGAUAUAGCCAAGGAAUAACCAUUAGAUACAACUUUACAUGCGUCAUACCAGAGGAAAAAACUGCACAACGAAUGUCAUAGCUGCAUCCUACCUUUCGGUUUUGCUUGGUUUGGAAUUACCUGGUUUUUGAGGCCCUCACUUAUAAGCUAACAGAGAGUAAAUGAGCUGUUUUGACUGAAAAUUUUGGAGUUGAUACUUGAUAGGUAUGCAGCUUAUUUUGCUUUGUCUUAAUUUUUAUUUUCUUAACUUUCAUUUGUUUGGAACUCAUGAAGUGGUUGUUUUAUGUUUUGAUAGUGUUAAUUAAGACUGCCAUGGCUUUUUCGGAUUGAGUUUGUUUAUCUUUUCAGAGUAUUGAUGGUAAAUCAUCAUUCUUUUUGUUACCUUACAUUUUUAAUUUCUCACUGUUUCUUUAACUGUUUAACAGGUUUUUGAGGCCCUUGCUUAUAAGCUACCAAAGAGUAAAUGAACAAAUUGCUUUAAUAUUUGCUAUUCUUUUCUACCCAAGUCUAUUUAGAAUCACCAAAUACGAGUGAAAUUUUUCUGAUCACCGGAGAGCAUAUUCGGAUUAGUUUUUUUAUGGCCGCAAGGUAUGAAUUUUUUAAAGUGAAAAAUUGUGUAUAGCUGAGCUUGAGCCCAAGUUCCUUUUUUGCAACUUGCUUUGUGAAAUUUGGAGUCAGGUCUUCAUGCACCAUUGAAUCUGAUCCUGAUAUGCAGAGUUAAGGGUUUAUGGUAUUUCCUGUGGAUAUAUAUGGUUAGAGUUGUACCUAGGAUCGAUGGUUGACGGAGCACCUUAUUUGAUUCUGAUUUUGACUGGUAGUACAUUGCUAAUGUAUUAUUAUCUACAUGAUCUAGAUUUUGAUCAUAGAUUCUCCCAUUGCGUUGAAUGGUUCGCUCUUUUGUUAAAGUUUGAGAAUUCUUUCUUUUUUGACAAUCUGAUUUCUUUCUCUUAUUUUUUGGUGUUUGAAGAAAUAUGUACACGUUAUAGUAUAUUCUAAUACUGAUAGAAAAACUCAAGCCUAACUAUUCUUUUGAUGUUUAUUUUUACAUCUCUGCCUUUGGAAAAUAUCAGACUUUAAAUGUUCAUAUCUAGCAUGUGAUUUAAAAGAUGACCUUGAAUAUAUAGAAGUGGAUAACCAAGCUGUCAGAUUUAGGAUGAAAAUUUUCUUUGGAUAUAAUAUGCAUGUGAAGUAAAUGAAUAGUUGGUGGAACUUUUGAAGAUUCUAUUAAAGAAGAAAUGAAAUAUGAAUGCUUCCUCCUUAUGAAGUAUUUUGGUCUACAAGUUGGUUUGCUGGCUGGAAGUGAGUGGCAAGAUUAUUGCAGUAGUCGUAAUAUGAGCUGCCACUAGGAUGCAAGGUGUAGCUUCAUAAUAUUGACAUUGCAACACUCAUUAUGCAAUAGUCAUUAUACAAGACUGUAAAAAUGCAGCUUGGUAUAUCAAUAAGGCUAGAGUGUGAAGCAACAUUUGAGGAAUGGACAAUGUUGCUUUCAGCUAUUUGCUUAAUUAACUAAUUUGCUUGGGUUUCUCUGGUGUCUUUUUAUGGGUUUGGAAUUUUCUAUUGUAAGAUUUGGGAAAGCUUAACAAGGAACACAUGUAGCUUAAUCCCUUUUGUAAUUUGAUAUUUGAUUUCUAAUGGGCAGAAGUGUUUGAAUUCUAAACUGUACCAUGAAAUUUACAGUUUUUUUUUUCUAUAAAAAGGAAUAUUAGCUACACAACUAUGAUAUGGGAUGAACGAAUAAUGGGUUGCGGGAAAGUAAAAUUUGCUUAGCUCAAUAGUAUACAAUUUAAGAUCUAUAGUCGUUUUGCCAGUCUUUUAUUAUGUAACAUUUGUCAUGUAUUUUAUUUUCUUCCUAAGCUAAGACUGCAGAACUUAAAUGUAACAUUUUUAUUCCAUCUUGAAUAGUGUUUCGUGUCAGUUGCUUGCCCCAUGCAGAAUUUUUUUUCUUCCUGAUUUUCAAAUUUCCCAGCAAGUAUGUUAGCAUUCCUUGAGUGAUUGCUACUUUUGUGUAUAUUGUGGAACAUGAAUAUGGACCAAUGGAUUUUUGGGGAAAAAUCCUUGAAUACAUGUACAUGGGUGAUAGGCGGACCAUUGAAUAUGUGCUCUUUUUUAUUUGGAUUGUCAUCACUUCUCAUUUAUGAAAUGUCAUCUCUUCGUGACCAGAUGAGGAGAGUGUGAUGGAUAUCUAAAAAAUCACCAAGGAAUGAAAUUAAUUAUUUUAAAUCUAAUUUUCUUGGUUCUUAUAUUAAUAUCCAGAUUCCAUAUCUCAUAGGCACAAACAAUUUUUAUUUGUGGCUUUAAUUUGAUUGAUCUUCCUCAAUCAAUCACAAUCCAUAAAACUGAAAAAAAAAAAAAGAACGAAAGGUUAGGGAUGAAAUUUUGCGUAGAACAAACAUAAGGGACAACUCCAAAUGUAGAAAUUCUUAAGAAUGACAUAAUUUAUUUGACCUAUAGUACGUUCUGUUAAAAAUUGUGUUGAUCAUUUAAAUAAAAAACAUUAACAAUUGUGUUGUUUCAAGUAAAAUAACUAAAAGGCUAUGUAACACCAUUAAAAAAUAUUACAAAACUUUGUCACUGAUAUAAAUUAAUGUGCAAACAUAGGGAAGAUAGCAAAGCCAUGGAAUCCCAAGGGGAUUUUAGUGAAGCUUACAAUUGAACAAUAAAGGUACAUAAAUUGUUAAAUUAAUAUUUUUAAGAAAUAUUGUUAGGAGAGUUACAAAGUGAUGGAAUCCCCAGGGGAUUUUAGUGAAGCUUGCAAUUAAAUAUUAAACACCAUUAAGCUUAUUAAAAAUGAAACUGAUGUCAACUAACUACCAAAUACACAACUAAGAAAAAACUAAAAGGCAAAUAAGAAUGAUCCAGCUUCCUAGGGACAAUAGAUUGAUAAGCGGAUUUUUUAAAACAUAAAUUUAGAAGUUAAUAGUUAUUCAAAUUUAAUUAUGUGAUAAAUUGGUAUUUAUUAAUCUAUUUAAAAUUAAAUUUAUUGUUGCCUUUUGGUUCCUUUCUUUUAUGGAUGAAUUGUAUUAUGAUAGAGAGCGCUGUAGGGAAUUGUAAAGGAUUAAAAAUCCCAAUUUGCGAUGGUGAUGACAAUAAUUCAAAUAGUACUUCAAAUGUAGUUUACAAAGAAGUAUUUCGCAAUGUAAUGUGAAGGAGAUAUUUUUGCAAAAAUGUGAAAUAUUACGUUCUUAAUUUUAUUCUCAAUGAAAUAAUGCCAAUUGCAAAAAAAAAAAACACAUAUUCUUAACGCAACAAGGUUACUUCAACUAUUUUUUUUGUUUGAAAUGAAUGUUACUUCAACUAGCUCAGAUACACUAAUCAAUAAAGACAAAAAUAAUAUUAAUCUACCUUUAAAACAACAAGUCAAAAGAUAAAAACAAAAUAAUAAAAAAAAACAAAAAACAAACAUUUAAUUAAAAGAAAACAUAAUAAUUCAUAAACUACUCUUUUUUUAUAUCUUUUAAUCAAUAAAAUAUAUUUAAAUAAAAACAAAUUUAACAAAAAAAACACACAAAAAAACCCAAAAAUGAAUAUCCCCAUGCAUCGCACGGGCAAAAAGUACUAGUUAUGAUCAAUAUACUCUAAGAAAAGAAACCCCUUCUGGGUUACGUGUCACCUCCUCCUUUUUUCUGGAUUAUUUUAAGUUUUCUUCUUAUUUCUUAUUUCAAGUACCCACUCUUCUUCUUUUAACUUCCCGCUCUUCUUCUUCUGGAAAUUUUCAAAAAACUUUGAAAUGAAAUAAGGCUGCACAUGUCAGUCACACCAUCAAUUGGAAUUGGAAAUAUUAAAAAAAAUAAAAAAAUCCCUAUCUCUUCUCAUUUUUCUCUCUCACUUCUUUACUCUUGCUUCCGUCUUCUUCAUCUCUCUUGAAAUUUUCCUAUUUCACUUUUCUUUCUACAUCUUCUGCAUCAGGUUAGUUCCAUCUCCUCUUUUCCUAACCUUUGCUUCAAAGUUUUAAUUUUCACUUCCUCUCUCUCAUAAGGCUUGCCAUUUCACAGGAAAACGAAAAUCAAGUGUUGCUCUUCAUCUCAGUCUUCUACAACGCAUCAAGCAUCUGAAGGCUUGCUUUUGAAAGAGCCAUGGGAAGUAGAAUUCGGUGCUAAAUCUGAAGAUCGUUGACCCUAAGAUCCACAGAUUUGCGUAAGAGGAAAGCAGACCAUGAAAGGAAGAUGGAGAGCAUGUGGAAGAAGACUGUUAGGCAUGAUGAUGAAGAUAAUGGUCUGUUAUGGUAGAACCAUUAUAUGGUUCUUCAAGUACAACAUUAAUUUACGGAAAAUAUUGGCUCACUCUAAAUGAUGCUUUCUAUUUGGUCAUUAUUAGUAUACCUAUAAUUGGAUUUCUCAUGUUUGUUUAGUUGCUACUAUAAUUUAUAUUAAUCUUACAAUUUCAUUUUUUUA